AUUGAACGCUGGCGGCAGGCCUAACACAUGCAAGUCGAACGAGUGGCGGACGGGUGAGUAAUGUCUGGGAAACUGCCUGAUGGAGGGGUAUCACUACUGGAAACGGUCUCUAAUACCGCAUACCCUCAGAUGUCCCCAGCUGGGAUUAGCUGGUGGGUGGGGUAAAGGCUCACCAAGGCGGCGCUCCCUCGCUGGUCUGAGAGGAUGACCAGCCACACUGGAACUGAGACACGGUCCAGACUCCUACGGGAGGCAGCAGUGGGGAAUAUUGCACAAUGGGCGCAAGCCUGAUGCAGCCAUGCCGCGUGUAUGAAGAAGGCCUUCGGGUUGUAAAGUACUUUCAGCGGGGAGGCGGUACCCGCAGAAGAAGCACCGGCUAACUCCGUGCCAGCAGCCGCGGUAAUUC
rnacentral:rRNA from 1 species